ACGAUUACCAUUGAGCCUUCCACUACAAAUGAACUAACUUCAGCAGUCACGGACGGGCAAAUAUCUUCCACUACUAUUGGACUCUCAUCUACCCAGGGAUCUGAAAGUACAACUGCAGAGCCAACUGACUCCACAACUGCAGCGGGAACGACCCUUGAAGAUCACACAACAACGUUAGAAAUGUCAACAAUUCCAGCUGAAACAACUACCAUUGUUACACAGGAACCAUCAGCUAGCCCAGAGACUGUGACAAGCCCAUCUCCCACAAUCACUUCUGGUCACACAUCAGCGCCCUCUGACGUUACAAGUGAGUCUCUAACUAGCACUGCUGGAACCUCAACAUCAAGUGAGGCAUCAACAACAACUUCUGAAGCAAACACAUCUGCUGAAGAAUCGACAGCGACCUCAGCUGGUUUAACAAGUGCAACUGUGGAAGCUACGUUUUCAACAUUGGGAGUGACCAUGACACCAGAAUCAACCGGAGACACAAUGGAAACAACUACAGCUAUGUCCUCAAGUGUAACAGAAACUUCAACCAGUACCUCCCCGGAAACAAGUCCCUCACAACCUUCUACGAUAACCAGUGAGCCUUCCACUACAAAUGAACUAACUUCAGCAGUCACGGAUGGGCAAAUAUCUUCCACUACCGUUGGAGUCUCAUCUACCCAGGGAACUGAAAGUACCACUGCAGAGCCAACUGACUCCACAACUGCAGCGGGAACGACCCUUGAAGAUCACACAACAACGUUAGAAAUGUCAACAAUUCCAGCUGAAACAACUACCAUUGUUACACAGGAACCAUCAGCUAGCCCAGAGACUGUGACAAGCCCAUCUCCCACAAUCACUUCUGGUCACACAUCAGCGCCCUCUGACGUUACAAGUGAGUCUCUAACUAGCACUGCUGGAACCUCAACAUCAAGUGAGGCAUCAACAACAACAUCUGAAGCAAACACAUCUGCUGAAGAAUCGACAGCGACCUCAGCUGGUUUAACAAGUGCAACUGUGGAAGCUACGUUUUCAACAUUGGGAGUGACCAUGACACCAGAAUCAACCGGAGACACAAUGGAAACAACUACAGCUAUGUCCUCAAGUGUAACAGAAACUUCAACCAGUACCUCGACAGAAACAAGGCCCUCACAACCUUCUACGAUUACCAUUGAGCCUUCCACUACAAAUGAACUAACUUCAGCAGUCACGGACGUGCAAAUAUCUUCCACUACUAUUGGACUCUCAUCUACCCAAGGAUCUGAAAGUACAACUGCAGAGCCAACUGACUCCACAACUGCAGCGGGAACGACCCUUGAAGAUCACACAACAACGUUAGAAAUGUCAACAAUUCCAGCUGAAACAACUACCAUUGUUACACAGGAACCAUCAGCUAGCCCAGAGACUGUGACAAGCCCAUCUCCCACAAUCACUUCUGGUCACACAUCAGCGCCCUCUGACGUUACAAGUGAGUCUCUAACUAGCACUGCUGGAACCUCAACAUCAAGUGAGGCAUCAACAACAACUUCUGAAGCAAACACAUCUGCUGAAGAAUCGACAGCGACCUCAGCUGGUUUAACAAGUGCAUCUGUGGAAGCUACGUUUUCAACAUCGGGAGUGACCAUGACACCAGAAUCAACCAAAGACACAAUGGAAACAACUACAGCUAUAUCCUCAAGUGUAACAGAAACUUCAACCAGUACCUCCCCGGAAACAAGUCCCUCACAACCUUCUACGAUAACCAGUGAGCCUUCCACUACAAAUGAACUAACUUCAGCAGUCACGGAUGGGCAAAUAUCUUCCACUACCGUUGGAGUCUCAUCUACCCAGGGAACUGAAAGUACCACUGCAGAGCCAACUGACUCCACAACUGCAGCGGGAACGACCCUUGAAGAUCACACAACAACGUUAGAAAUGUCAACAAUUCCAGCUGAAACAACUACCAUUGUUACACAGGAACCAUCAGCUAGCCCAGAGACUGUGACAAGCCCAUCUCCCACAAUCACUUCUGGUCACACAUCAGCGCCCUCUGACGUUACAAGUGAGUCUCUAACUAGCACUGCUGGAACCUCAACAUCAAGUGAGGCAUCAACAACAACUUCUGAAGCAAACACAUCUGCUGAAGAAUCGACAGCGACCUCAGCUGGUUUAACAAGUGCAUCUGUGGAAGCUACGUUUUCAACAUCGGGAGUGACCAUGACACCAGAAUCAACCAAAGACACAAUGGAAACAACUACAGCUAUGUCCUCAAGUGUAACAGAAACUUCAACCAGUACCUCCCCGGAAACAAGUCCCUCACAACCUUCUACGAUAACCAGUGAGCCUUCCACUACAAAUGAACUAACUUCAGCAGUCACGGACGGGCAAAUAUCUUCCACUACAAUUGGACUCUCAUCUUCCCAGGGAUCUGAAAGUACAACUGCAGAGCCAACUGACUCCACAACUACAGCAGGAACGACCCUUGAAGAUCACACAACAACUUUAGAAAUAACAACAAGUCCAGGUGAAACAACGACCAUUGUUACACAAGAACCAUCAGCUAGCCCAGAGACUGUGACAAGCCCAUCUCCCACAAUCACUUCUGGUCACACAUCAGCGCCCUCUGACGUUACAAGUGAGUCUCUAACUAGCACUGCUGGAACCUCAACAUCAAGUGAGGCAUCAACAACAACUUCUGAAGCAAACACAUCUGCUGAAGAAUCGACAGCGACCUCAGCUGGUUUAACAAGUGCAUCUGUGGAAGCUACGUUUUCAACAUCGGGAGUGCCCAUGACACCAGAAUCAACCAAAGACACAAUGGAAACAACUACAGCUAUGUCCUCAAGUGUAACAGAAACUUCAACCAGUACCUCCCCGGAAACAAGUCCCUCACAACCUUCUACGAUAACCAGUGAGCCUUCCACUACAAAUGAACUAACUUCAGCAGUCACGGACGGGCAAAUAUCUUCCACUACCGUUGGAGUCUCAUCUACCCAGGGAACUGAAAGUACAACUGCAGAGCCAACUGACUCCACAACUGCAGCGGGAACGACCCUUGAAGAUCACACAACAACGUUAGAAAUGUCAACAAUUCCAGCUGAAACAAUGACCAUUAUUACACAAGGACCAUCAACUAGCCCAACAAUAGAAGCAAUGACCACAACACAGUCUCCAACUCCCACAUCUACCACACCCUUUCUAACUACUCAAACUACAUUACCUUUCACAACCACACCCAACACACCAUCAACUACAUCAACUUCCCCAACUACCACACCUUCUACAACCACCCUAAUUACAUCAACUACCGCACCUACCACACCUCCAACUACAUUAACUACAUCAACUACACAUUCUACUACACCUAUCCCACCUGCCCCUUCUACUACACCUAUCCCAACUACCCCUUCUACUAACCCUUCUACUACACCUAACCUAACUACAACACCUACCCCAACUACCCCAACUAACCCUUCUACUACACCUAACCUAACUACAACACCUACCCCAACUACCCCUUAUACUACACCUAUCCCAACUACCCCUUCUAAUACACCUACCCAUUCUACUACACCUACCCCAACUAUCCCUUAUACUACACCUAUCCCAACUACCCCUUCUAAUACACCUACCCCUUCUACUACACCUACUUCAACUACCCCAACUAACCCUUCUACUGCAUCCAGUCCAACUUCUACAACUGCAUCUGCUUCAUUGACGUCAACUUCACUCUCAACAACUGGACCUCCGAUAAUUGUGACUGUGGACACUAUUGAAGUAUCAACAGAUGUCACUGUUAGACUCAACAAAACAUUUAAAGAAGAAUACAGUCACCCGUCAACACAGGAAUACCAAGAUUUCACAAAAAAUUUCACCAACGAUAUGACCUUACUGUACAACCGCACUAUUAACAAUUUUAUCGGCAUAGUAAUAAUAGGACUCAGGAAUGGCAGUGUCGUGGUGGACCACGUGGUUCUACUGCGCAUAGAGAAUGGGAAGAACCUAAGUAAUGAGAUUGCUGAGUCAGAAAAACAAAUCAAGGACAGUCUCAAUGCGGCCAAAAACUGCACCACAGGCCAAGUAGGCUGUAUUGGGGUGGACAUAAUUGGAGAUGUCAUUGUAAAAAAUUCCACAUUUGAUAAGGAAUCGGUAUGCGACACGGCCAAACUAGAUAAGGACUUGAGGAUAUACUACCAUGCAGCACAAAUAGAUGGGCGACUGGUCUGUGUCUCUCCCUGUGCCCCCGGACACAACAGGGAAAAGAACUGCAACACCGGCACCUGUAGUAUGUCAAGGGACGGUCCGGUCUGCAGAUGUAACCAGGACUACUGGUACCUAGACUCCGAUUGCUUCGGUCAUAUCCUGAAGAGGGACCUCUUUGCCGCGCUACUGACCCUGGCAGGACUGGCGAUAGCAGCCGUGGGGGUCAUGGUGGUCUAUGUGCCCUGGCAUAGACGACAAUUACAUAGGGUGAAAGAUAUCCAUACUGGACAAGUUAACCAGUGGCUGGAGGAAGACUUUGAAUGGCCCAACAGGCCAAAUAUAGGUGGCCACUUGGUUGGUUCAAGUAGUACCACAGUCCUAACAGAGAAUGAGCCUAACCCACCUUAUGGGGGCCGAGUGGGCUUGCAGUACGACGCAGAGGAGAUUCCCUGUCAUCCUCCAGUACAAGGCUGCCGUCUCCCUACCAUGGAACACAGGCACAGGUGUCCAGGAGGCCUGAGAUCAUCUGCCAUGACUACAGUUCCUGGGGUGCUGAUAGGGACGCCAUUCAAGUCAUACAGACUACCGCCACCUCGUCAGGGCAGCAUUUUACAUUGAGUGACCCUGGCAGCCAAUCAGAGGUGGGAACGGAAUGUUCAUCAUAAUGCUGUCAAAUAUGUAUGUAAUAGCUUAGGAUCAGCAUGCCGGGGAUACGGACUUACUCUGAGAUCUAGUGGGACAUCCUCAACUCUUAAAAACAGAACUGGACAAAGAACAGGAAAGAAAGAAAAAGGAUCUCUUAACGGACAGUCUCCUCUUUGGGAGCGAAGCCUGAAUAACGGUUGUGGGACAAUGCUUUAUUAACACUGCACAGGAUUGUCCAACGAAGUAUGGAGUCACUGAUACAGGAGGAUGUGAAACCCAACCUCAGCUUCAUUAAUGGAAUAAUCUGCUCUCAAAUCAAUCAACCUAUCAGGAUAUCUAAGGAAACAACAUGUUUUAUGUGCUGUACUUCAGUGACGCAAGUUUACAAUAAAUCUGCACAAUGAUAUAUGUUGCUUGUACCAGUUUACCAAUUAGCAUGGCUUCUUUUGCACUUUAAUACCACAACAAAUUAAUGUAAAUAAUGUUGUAAUAUCACAUGUAUAUAACAAUCUGUCUUUAUAUAGAACAGACAUUGCACUGUGGUAGUUGUUAUAAAAUCAAAACAUAUUUCAAAUGUGUAUCAAAAACUAAGUUAUUUCCCGACUUUUGUAAACUGCAUAAUGUCAAACCAAUAAUACAAUAUUGUAUCACACAUAAAUAGAACAAUAAACGCAUCUGAUGAAAUUGGCAGUCAAAUGAACAAUGAAUGAAGGCCAAAGUGAGCCAUUUCUAAUCAGUGCCGCAUUCUCUUGA